rnacentral:rRNA from 1 species
GACGAACGCUGGCGGCGUGCUUAACACAUGCAAGUCGAACGGAAAGACCCUGCUUUUGUGGGGUGCUCGAGUGGCGAACGGGUGAGUAACACGUGAGUAACCUGCCCUUGACUUUGGGAUAACUUCAGGAAACUGGGGCUAAUACCGGAUAGGAGCUCCUGCUGCAUGGUGGGGGUUGGAAAGUUUCGGCGGUUGGGGAUGGACUCGCGGCUUAUCAGCUUGUUGGUGGGGUAGUGGCUUACCAAGGCUUUGACGGGUAGCCGGCCUGAGAGGGUGACCGGCUACAUUGGGACUGAGAUACGGCCCAGACUCCUACGGGAGGCAGCAGUGGGGAAUAUUGCACAAUGGGCGGAAGCCUGAUGCAGCAACGCCGCGUGCGGGAUGACGGCCUUCGGGUUGUAAACCGCUUUCGCCUGUGACGAAGCGUGAGUGACGGUAAUGGGUAAAGAAGCACCGGCUAACUACGUG